rnacentral:rRNA from 1 species
CCUACGGGAGGCAGCAGUGAGGAAUUUUCCGCAAUGGGCGAAAGCCUGACGGAGCAAUACCGCGUGAGGGAUGAAGGAUUUUGGUCUGUAAACCUCUUUUCUCAAGAAAGAAGUUCUGACGGUACUUGAGGAAUAAGCAUCGGCUAACUCCGUGCCAGCAGCCGCGGUAAUACGGGGGAUGCAAGCGUUAUCCGGAAUGAUUGGGCGUAAAGCGCCUGUAGGUUGUUUAUUAAGUCCGUUGUUAAAGCCUAGGGCUCAACCCUAGAAAAGCAAUGGAAACUAGUAGACUAGAGUAUGGCAGGGGUAGAGGGAAUUUCUAGUGUAGCGGUGAAAUGCGUAGAUAUUAGAAAGAACACCGGUGGCGAAAGCGCUCUACUGGACCAUUACUGACACUCAGAGGCGAAAGCUAGGGUAGCAAAAGGGAUUAGAUACCCCUGUAGUCCUAGCCGUAAACGAUGGAUACUAGAUGUUGUGCAUUAUGUACAGUAUCGUAGCUAACGCGUUAAGUACCCCGCCUGGGGAGUACGCUCGCAAGGGUGAAACUCAAAGGAAUUGACGG